UACGGAGGUCUCAAGCGUUGUUCGGAUUCAUUGGGCGUAAAGGGUGCGUAGGUGGCGCCGUAAGUCAGGUGUGAAAUCUCGGAGCUCAACUCCGAAACUGCACUUGAUACUGCGGUGCUCGAGUACUGGAGAGGAGAUUGGAAUUUACGGUGUAGCAGUGAAAUGCGUAGAUAUCGUAAGGAAGACCAGUGGCGAAGGCGGAUCUCUGGACAGUUACUGACACUGAGGCACGAAGGCCAGGGGAGCAAACGGG
rnacentral:rRNA from 1 species